UAGGGAAUNNUUGGCAAUGGACGGAAGUCUGACCGAGCAACGCCGCGUGAGUGAAGAAGGUAUUCGGAUUGUAAAGCUCUGUUGUAAGAGAAGAACGAGUGUGAGAGUGGAAAGUUCACACUGUGACGGUAUCUUACCAGAAAGGGACGGCUAACUACGUGCCAGCAGCCGCGGUAAUACGUAGGUCCCGAGCGUUAUCCGGAUUUAUUGGGCGUAAAGCGAGCGCAGGCGGUUAGAUAAGUCUGAAGUUAAAGGCUGUGGCUUAACCAUAGUACGCUUUGGAAACUGUUUAACUUGAGUGCAAGAGGGGAGAGUGGAAUUCCAUGUGUAGCGGUGAAAUGCGUAGAUAUAUGGAGGAACACCGGUGGCGAAAGCGGCUCUCUGGCUUGUAACUGACGCUGAGGCUCGAAAGCGUGGGGAGCAAACAGGAUUAGAUACCCCGGUAGUCCACGCCGUAAACGAUGAGUGCUAGGUGUUAGACCCUUUCCGGGGUUCAGUGCCGUAGCUAACGCAUUAAGCACUCCGCCUGGGGAGUACGACCGCAAGGUUG
rnacentral:rRNA from 1 species